UAACAUGGGCUGCCAGAUUCUCAACACCGGGAGGUCACUCAAUCAGUCAGUCUAGGAUGCGCCGCUGACGUGAGGGGUCGUGCGCCUCGCCCUUCCCGCUCCCUCCUGUAGUGUGCUAGAGGUCACCAUGCCGUCGAGGUCAGAGGACAUCCUGGAGGGCUUCAAGAUAAACUGGAUGAACCUCCGAGAUGCAGACUCCGGCAAGGUUCUCUGGCAAGGCACUGAUGACUUCACCAACCCGGAUGUGGAGCAUGAGGCUCGGGUACCCAGGAAGAUACUCAAGUGCCGCGCCGUGUCCCGGGAGAUCUCCUUCUCCUCGGUGCAUGCCAUGGAGAAGUUUAGACUGGAGCAGCGGGUGUACUUCAAGGACCGAAUGUUAGAGGAGUGGUUCUUUGAGUUCGGCACCGUGAUCCCCAACUCCACCAACACCUGGCAGAGCUUGAUAGAGGCCGCACCAGAGUCACAAAUGAUGCCGGCCCAAGUCCUCAGUGGGAACGUCGUCAUAGAGACCAAGUUCUUCGACGAUGACCUCCUGGUGUCCACAUCGAAGGUGCGGCUUUACUACAUAUGAGUCAGCUGUUCACCCCUGACGGCGCCCAACAUGGUUGGGUCCCCCGCCAGGCCCUUCAUCACCAGCUGACUCGCCUCUGGCCGCAUCAUGUAUCUUAUUAUUAGUGUGUAGCAUUCUCAUGUUAUAUUUUUAUAAUAAUAAUUUCCAUGGUUCUGUUGGAGUCCAGUGAAGGAAGUUGCGUUGAAACAAUUUUGUAAAAUAUAUAUAAUAUCUUAUAUGAUUUAAUGUAUAUAAGUGUACUUACCUACCUGUGUUAGCACACUGGCUGCCUUAAUUAUUGUGGGGACAUAGUUUUAGUGCUUUUUUUGUCCAGACAGCAGAAAGUACCAAUGAUGGAGGCAAACACUUGCUACUUUGCUCACUCAGACCACCUCCUGCUGGCUGGCUGCGGCGCGGCACAAACGCACACUGCCCACUGCGUACACACACACACACACACACACAUACACACACACACACACACACACACACACUGUAAUUUAUAAUAAUAUAAUAGUCCACAGCAUCAUUCCUGCAUAAUACAGUACUAAAUGUAUUACAAAGUUACUGUGUGUACCACGUUGAAUGCAAGGCUGUUUGUACAGGUAACUGGGUCUCCUUGCACACCAUGUAAUAAUGCCACGGUGGAAUUAUCACUAUUACUAUAACAGCAGUUCGUGAAAUUUGGUAACUGAUGUCUCAGGAGUCUUGAUUGGAAAACGGUAUGACCUUUUCAAUCAAGCCUUAUCCUUGCAUUCAAUCACUGUUAUAAUUUUGUUACCUGCAUCACUCUUAAACCUUUGAUUUUUCAACACUGGGUCUUGUUGACGGUAAUGUGAUGAUGUUGACAACAGCACCGAUAAAACUACUUUGAACACCUGAACCGGAACACUAACGAUAUGAGUAUAACCUGAAGUAAUUAAGGACUUGCCUCAUGCAGUAACAGAGUGGCCCAGCGGCUGCACACACCACCGAAACCUCAUAUUCCUAAGUGUUCUGGUUUGAGGUCAAGCCAUAGAUGUACUAGUUUUUAGACUAUAAAUCAUUCUCGCUGUUUCACUAAGGGCCAUAUUGCAAGUCGAAUCCGGGAAGUUUCGGGUCCCUGCAGAGUUCGGUUCAGGAGUCGUAUUGCAAGUCGAAUUCGGGAAGUUUCGGGUCCCUGCAGAGUUCGGUUCAUGGGUCGUAUUGCAAGUCGAAUUCGGGAAGUUUCGGGUCCCUGCAGAGUUCAGUUCAUGGGCCGUGUUGCAAGUCAAAUCCAGGAAGUUUCGGGUCCCUGCAGAGUCAUUGAUCCCGAACUCUGUAGGGACCCAAAAUUUCCCGGAUUCAACCUGUAAUACGGCCCUGAACCUUUGGCCCCAAGCUGAGAUAUGAGAAUACUGGUGAACACGGGAAAGGUCCACUCAUCACAUUGUCCCGAGAAACACCUAUUAUUUUGUGAGCUGUUUAUGAUACCUCCCUAACCCUCCACCAGUCGUGCUAGUUGUGAUAAGGCUAAUACACUACACUUAACGUUGUUGUCGCUAGAGUUCACUUCUGGCCCUCGGAAGCUGACUGAUGUACUUAUUUUGAUUCUUGUGAAUUUAUAUAUUUUUUUAAGACUUUUGCCAAUAAGAAUCAGGGCUUGACAUCAGGUGCUUCUGUUUUAGUCUUGGAAAUCAUCAAAAUCAGAGCAGCAGUAGUAGUAGUAGUAAUUGUAGUAGUAAUUGUAGUAGUAGUAGUAGUGAGGUUUACAGUUUUUGAAUUUGUUGCAUGUUUUCAUUCACCUCUUCUCACCUUGUUGAUUUGUAGCAAUUUCCUUAACCUUUUUUUUCAGCCUUUUGUAAGAGAUGCACAGAUUUUUAGUAAAGUGUAAAAGAAGAGAGCAACACCUGUCUGUAAAUCAGGCAUGCUAAGACAGGCCGAGGUGGUGGUACUAGUCUACUGAAGGCUGCUGAAACACAACACCUCAGAAAACAAUUGUAUAACUAAGAUGAAGUACACUUUAUUGAAGAGCUUUAUUUUAUUGGCAAAUGCAUUUUGUACCACCUUCAUGGCAUAAGAUGGAGAACUAUAGUUGGUUCACCCAAGUCUGAGACAUGUUUUAUCAUGCGCUGGCAACCUGUUGCCACAUGGCGUGGGUAGUGUGUGACAGCCUGCGCACAGUGUGCAGGCAGCAAUAACAAAUACCAUCAAUAAUAGUUGAGUUUGAGUUAAAACUUCUUAGUACCGUCACAAACGGCUGUUUUGUUAAUAUAAAGCCUGUUCAUUUUCUCGGUGGCAGACAGCCCAAGGCUGUUUAAUAAUUAUGAUCGGCAAUCUUGUAAAUUAACAAAACAGUUGUUUGUGAGAGUGUUCACAAUUUGUUAUUGUUGCUGCAUAUUACUGACGCUGGUGACUUCCCAAUGCAGAGGCUGUCACACAUUAUCCACAAAAUUGGGCACACCGUGUGACGGCAGGCUGCCAGCGCACGCUGCACACCUCAGACUUGGGUGGACCAACUAUGGUCUACUUAAUUAAGGCUGCUAAAACACAACACUGCAGGAAACAAUUGUAUGAUGAAGGCAAAGUACAGUUAUUGAAGAGCUCUAUCUGCAGACACUUUUUAUACCACUCUCAAGGUGUCAGAAAUGCUUCAAUUUCAAACCAGCCAAAAUUCUGAUGUACCACAGCACUCCAAGUUCACCGAGGUACUUGUCAUAUCAUCGAGGUUCCUGCGUGAUAAUCUAAUCAAGUGUCUGAUACCUGUUGGAUGGACUGAGUGAAUGGGUACCACCAGAGCCAUAGAACAGGAGAGUUUGGUCAACCUUAUCACAGGCACCAUGCUGUUACCAAUACUUCUUUACAUAGAUUUACAUAGAUAUUCAGACCACACAGAGCCAAUGGUCCAGACUAGGUGAUUUGUCCUUGAACCUAAGAUUAUAUUAAAUGAAAUGCCACCAGGAUUUUGUAUUUCUACUUCAUUGAAUAUUUAGUUGAAGGAAGUGUCCGAGAUUAUAUUAAAUGAAAUGCCACCAGGACUUUGCAUUUCUACUUUAGUGAAUGUUAAGUUAAUUAACCUCUUCACUCCGGCGAUGCCAACGUCGGCGUCCUACGGCAUCACCGUUAGUCCUCUUCUAAACCUCUUAAGAGGAAAUGGAAGAGGAUUAAAAGGAAUUUAGAGGAGGAUUGAAAGGUUUAGAAGAGGAUUAAUCCUCUUCCAUUUCCUCUUGACCCUUUCCAUACCGUGACGCCGACGUCUGGGUCACGGAUGGAAAGGGUUAGAGGAAGUGGUGGUUGAGAUUGUGUUUAAAUGAGUCAGUCAUGUUGCAGUGUUUACAGUGAAGGAAACACACACACAUAUAAGUUUGAUGAGGUGGAUAGAGAUGAUCUCUUCUUAACUGUGAGAAUGCAGGAGCUGAGAGGACAUAGGAAGAAACUUAAUAAAGGAACCUGUUUGAGUGACUUACAAAGUAUAGUUUUCCACAUAGAAGUGUUAACACAUGGUACAACUUGCGGUAAGAGGUGGUGGAGGCAAACAGUGUCCAACAAAUGAGGGAAAGCCUGGAUGAAUGUAGAUAUGGAGACGGGACUAUUAGAACUUAGCUUGGGCCCAGUAGACUACAAAUAAGUAAAUACAAACAGGUAAAUACACACCAAAAAAAUAUCACAUCAUCAUCAAUUUGAAUUUCACAUUGCUCUUCUGGUAACGAUUCUGCGCCAGUGAUGAAGGUGACCAAACUCUCCUACGCUCUACCUCCAGGUGGCAAUAGGCUUCAUGCAAGGGGUAACAGCACCUCGAGCCUUCAUGUGAUACUAGGGUGCACACUGCCCAUGAACGCUGACCACCCCUUAGCCUAGUCUGUCCCGGCACGGUUCAAGUCUCCGGGAACUCAGUGCAACGCGACGGAGUGCAAACCAUGAUAAUCUGCAUGUUAAGUUACUUUGAUUAACAGCCCUGUGUGACCCCCUUCAGCCUCCCUUGUAGCUAUAGUCACCAUACGUUAACUUGACCACCAGAAGCCCCGCCAGCAUUGCCAGCUUAUCAUAUUCACCACACCAACAUCUGGCCCUUAACCAUUGCCCAAAGGUAUCAGGAACUAGUGAUUUUAACGAUAACUGUAGAAAUCUUGCUAUUGGGACCCAGUGACAGUUAUGGGGUCGGAAAGCAGUAAAUACAAGAGGCUGAGUAGGACAGUCUGGCAAUGCUAAGCCCCGCCCCUUCUUAACCAUUGCCCAAAGGUAUCAGGAACUAGUGAUUUUAACGAUAACUGCAGAAAUCUUGUUAUCAGGGCCCAGUGACAGUUUUGGGGUCGGAAAGCAGUAAAUACAAGAGGCUGAGUAGGACAGUCUGGCAACGCUAAGCCCCACCCCUUCCUCCAUAGUUAGGGAUGAUUUAUUUAUUUAUUUUAUUUUUUUACAGCAGAGGAGUCCGUUCAAGGGCAUAAAAAACUAACAAAUGUGAGAGGAACUUGGAUUUAGAGGUUAUGUUCGUAAUGUUCCAGCGCCCAAGCUCACAGAUUUGUCAAGGCUUUCAUAGGAGUUUUAUGUCCAAAUUAUCAAAUGUAGCUAUCAGGCUCUUACUGUAUUUUUCCAAGGCCACAGAGAAGAUUAAGUAGGAUUGCAAAACAGUCCGUGGAAAUCCCAUCAACUUAUAGUACAGGCUGUAGGCAUCUCCAGGGGUAGUUUUAUGAUCCUGGUGGUUGUUUGACCCUUCUUCUGUACCUUGAACCUGAAGAAACACUCAUUGGGACCCAAUUCAUAUAGUUUUCAGCCUUUGGAAAUUCUUAAACACAAAUUUGACAAGGCUUUCAUAGGAGUUGUGGGCAUUUCCAGGGGUUAUUUUAUGACCCUGGUAGUAGUCUGACACUCCUUCUGUAGCAUGAACCUAAAGAAACACUCAUUAGAACCCGACUGACCUCCUCUUUGGCCUUGGAAAAUAGUUGAUAUGAGAGGCAGAAGCAUUUAAGAAUAACAGGAAGAGGGCAAGGGAAAGGAAGGGGCUCUGAAUCAAAUUAGUGCAUGGUGUCUGUAGAUAAGAACAACCCACUGUUAGUCUAUUUUCCGCCACCAUAUGUUUUCCUUCAUCAUUUUCUCUGUGUGCACGAUUUAAAGCGGUACAAAAUAUUUUACGGAUGAGUUUGUGAAGGUGUCGCCGUUGUUGUCGGAUAUUUUGUGAAGAAAAACACGAUAAACGCUGAAAAAUACUGUACGGUGAAUGUCCUGAUUUUGGCGACCCUGCUCUACACCCUGUGAUUGCAUGUUGACCCUCCACCCACUGGCCCUCAGAAUAAACUUUUCCAAACCCUCGA